UCCAGCAGAGAACAGUGGUUUGGUUUCCAGC
rnacentral:piRNA from 1 species